rnacentral:rRNA from 1 species
GAUACGGGAAUUAGGGUUCGAUUCUGGAGAAGGAGCCUGAGAACGGCUACUACAUCUACCGAAGGCAGCAGGCGCGUAAUUACCCUAUCCUGACUCAGGGAGGUGGUGACAAGAUAUAACAACGCACUUUAAUUGUGAUUGUAGUGAGGGUUUUCCAUACCGAACCACUAGUACGAUUAGAGGGCAAGUCUGGUGCCAGCAGCCGCGGUAAUUCCAGCUCUAAUAGCGUAUAUUAAAGUUGCUGCAGUUAAAAGCUCGUAUUUGGUUUUUUAGGAUUGUGUACUCUUCUAGGUAUGCACCCUACUAGUCUUUGACUGUUACUGUGAGAAAAUUAGAGUGUUCAAAGCAGCAGUUGCAAGUCUACAUUAGCAUGGAAAACGAAUGUCUCAGAAUCAGGACAAACAAGCCGAUUAAUAGAGACAGUUGGGGGCAUUAGAUCUCACUUCUCUCUGUCGAUAUUCUUGGAUGUGCUAAGACUACGGAUGCGAUAGCAUCUGCCACGCAUCGUUUCAUUUAUUCAGGACGAACGAUACGGGAUUAAAUCAUCGAUACUGUCGUAGUCUAUUCUAUAACUAUGCCGACUAGGGAUGGAUGGAAGAUUGACAUUUCGUACUUAGACAAUCAGCCUUGGGUUCUGGGGGGAGUGUCCAGACUGACUACUAUGCCGACGCCCGAUGGACUGCGCUGAUUGACCACGGGACUUCAGCACAUAUAGACUGCAAUUGACCUCUCUGAUCUGGGGGGGGCAGGCCGCUCUAUUGGGAAGAUUGCGGAU